ACAUGCGAGUCGAACGCCUCCUAUCAUGAUGGAGGCGCGGCACACGGCUCAGUAACACGUGGUCAACUACCCUUGGGACGGAUGCAACCCCGGGAAACUGGGGCUAAUCUCCGAUAGGCGAAGAGGCCUGGAAUGGUUCUUCACCCAAAAGACGUUGGAAUCAUGCUUUCAACGCCGCCCAAGGAUGGGACCGCGACCGAUCAGGCUGUUGGUGAGGUAACGGCUCACCAAACCUAUAACCGGUACGGGCCGCGGGAGCGGUACCUGGAGAUGGGCACUGAGACAAGGGCCCAGGCCCUACGGGGCGCAGCAGUCGCGCAACCUCUGCAAUACGCGAAAGCGUGACAGGGGCUACCCCGAGUGCCGUCCGCUGAGGAUGGCUUUUCUCCGGUGUAGUGAGCCGGAGGAAUAAGGAGAGGGCAAGUCUGGUGUCAGCCGCCGCGGUAAUACCAGCUCUCCGAGUGGUAGGGACGAUUAUUGGGCCUAAAGCGUCCGUAGCCGGCCAACCAAGUUUCCCGUUAAAUCCAGCGAUCCAAUCGUUGGACUGCGGGAAAUACUGUUUGGCUAGGGGGCGAGAGAGGCCAACGGUACUCUCGGGGUAGGGGUGAAAUCCUAU
rnacentral:rRNA from 1 species